GAUGAACGCUGGCGGCGUGCUUAACACAUGCAGGUCGAACGAUGAAGCCCAGCUUGCUGGGUGGAUUAGUGGCGAACGGGUGAGUAACACGUGAGUAACCUGCCCUUAACUCUGGGAUAAGCCUGGGAAACUGGGUCUAAUACCGGAUAGGAGCGCCUACCGCAUGGUGGGUGUUGGAAAGAUUUAUCGGUUUUGGAUGGACUCGCGGCCUAUCAGCUUGUUGGUGAGGUAAUGGCUCACCAAGGCGACGACGGGUAGCCGGCCUGAGAGGGUGACCGGCCACACUGGGACUGAGACACGGCCCAGACUCCUACGGGAGGCAGCAGUGGGGAAUAUUGCACAAUGGGCGAAAGCCUGAUGCAGCGACGCCGCGUGAGGGAUGACGGCCUUCGGGUUGUAAACCUCUUUCAGUAGGGAAGAAGCGAAAGUGACGGUACUUGCAGAAGAAGCACCGGCUAACUACGUG
rnacentral:rRNA from 1 species